rnacentral:rRNA from 1 species
CCUACGGGUGGCUGCAGUGGGGAAUAUUGCACAAUGGGCGUAAGCCUGAUGCAGCCAUGCCGCGUGUGUGAAGAAGGCCUUCGGGUUGUAAAGCACUUUCAGCGGGGAGGAAGGCGGUGAGGUUAAUAACCUCAUCGAUUGACGUUACCCGCAGAAGAAGCACCGGCUAACUCCGUGCCAGCAGCCGCGGUAAUACGGAGGGUGCAAGCGUUAAUCGGAAUUACUGGGCGUAAAGCGCACGCAGGCGGUCUGUCAAGUCGGAUGUGAAAUCCCCGGGCUCAACCUGGGAACUGCAUUCGAAACUGGCAGGCUAGAGUCUUGUAGAGGGGGGUAGAAUUCCAGGUGUAGCGGUGAAAUGCGUAGAGAUCUGGAGGAAUACCGGUGGCGAAGGCGGCCCCCUGGACAAAGACUGACGCUCAGGUGCGAAAGCGUGGGGAGCAAACAGGAUUAGAUACCCCAGUAGUC